UACAGAGGUCCCAAGCGUUGUUCGGAUUCAUUGGGCGUAAAGGGUGCGUAGGUGGCGAGGCAAGUCUGGUGUGAAAUCCCGGGGCUCAACCCCGGAACUGCACUGGAUACUGCUUUGCUAGAGUACUGGAGAGGGAACUGGAAUUUACGGUGUAGCAGUGAAAUGCGUAGAUAUCGUAAGGAAGACCAGUGGCGAAGGCGAGUUCCUGGACAGUUACUGACACUGAGGCACGAAGGCCAGGGGAGCAAACGGG
rnacentral:rRNA from 1 species